AUUGAACGCUAGCGGGAUGCCUUACACAUGCAAGUCGAACGGAGUGGCGAACGGGUGAGUAAUGUAUCGGAACGUGCCCCGUAGCGGGGGAUAACUACGCGAAAGCGUAGCUAAUACCGCAUACUAUUGGAGCGGCCGAUAUCGGAUUAGCUAGUUGGUGGGGUAACGGCUCACCAAGGCGACGAUCCGUAGCUGGUUUGAGAGGAUGACCAGCCACCCGGGGAGUGAGACACGGCCCAGACUCCGACGGGAGGCAGCAGUGGGGAAUGUUGGACAAGGGGGGAAACCCUGAUCCAGCCAUCCCGCGUGGGCGAGGAAGGCCUUCGGGUUGUAAAGCACUUUUGGCAGGAAAGCGGUACCUGCAGAAUAAGCACCGGCUAACUACGUGCCAGCAGCCGCGGUAAUAC
rnacentral:rRNA from 1 species